rnacentral:lncRNA from 1 species
GUAGUCCUGUAAGCGCGCGGAGCCCGUCGGGCGCCUAUGGAACUCGACCCGCAGGCCAAAGGGGCUCCGUUGCAAGGAAGAAGUGCGGGGUCCCGCCGCCUCCUAGACCGAGAUCGCGGUGAGCUGGCCGCGGCGCACAAUGGGCACGGCCUGGGCGGCGGCGUCCGUACUAUCGCCCUGUGCCUGCGGAUCCCGGUAACAUUGCGCGGCAGGCCCCAGGCCGGCCUCCCUCAGCUUCGCGGACUGUCUGGGCCGGGGGUCUCAACCUUGACUUCAGGGCCGGGCCGCUGGGGCAGACCCUUAGUGAUGUUCAGGUCCUCUGGGCCCCUGCCAGUCAAGGGACGCUCGUCGCGCGCCAAUUGUUAAGUCUUUCAUUGUUUCUGUAAACCUGCUGACGCCCUCCCAGCGCAUAGGGAGACUGCGCACGUGAGUCCGCCCCCGCGCGCACUGCGGAGAGGUAGAGGCACGAAUGUAGUACAAGGUACAAAAUGACUACUCCAGAGAGGGCCAGAUGACUAAGUCAGCAAACACUUAGGGAACACGACUGUGUCCGCUGCGCGUUUCCCGGAGUAGACACAAGGGUGAAUGAACAAAGAAUGGAUUUCGGUCACUGAAAGUGGAGAGGUAGCCGACUCCGUCCGUGGAGGCCCUUAGCAGAGCUGGAUCUGGUAGUCCCCCGGUCAUGAGGGGAGAUUCUGCUGGAGGAAAGAGGUCUCCAUUCCCACCGUUUGAAAUGUGUAGGAUGCCCUCAGAUUCUUUGGCCCAUUCAUAGGUAUAGCUAUGCUAAAAACGCGGGACCCUACAAUGUACUUAGCACUAGCAGAGAGGGAGUCGAGGAUAUGGACAGAGACUGCACUAGCUCACACAUUAGCAGGCCAGGGUGCGGUGGCUCACCCCUGUAAUCCCAGAACUUUGGAAGGUCAAGGUGGGAGGAAAACUUGAGUCCAGGAGUUCCAGACCAGCCUGGGCAACAUAGGGAGACCCCUUCUCUAUUUUAAAAAUAAUAAAAUAGGGCCGGGUGCGGUGGCUCACACCUGUAAUCCCAGCACUUUGGGAGACUGAGGCGAGUGGAUCAGGAGGUCAGGGGUUCAAGACCACCUAGCCAAGAUGGUGAAACCCCGUCUCUGCUGAAAACUGCAAAAAUUAGCCAGGCGCGGUGGCAGGCGCCUCAAGUCCCAGCUACUCGGGAGGCUGAGGCAGGAGAAUCGCUUGAACCCAGGCAGCAGAAGUUGCAGUGAGCCGAGAUUGCGCCAAUGCACUCCAGCCUGGGUGACGGAGUGAGACUCCGUCUUGAAAAAAAAAAAAAUAAUAAUAAUAAUAAUAAAAUGAAGAAGUAGUUAGCGGUGUCCUUUGGUCCUCAGCUUUGAAGGGCAAGAUCUUAAUUCAGUUCAACUACAGCUAAUCAGAAUUUGGAAGACUAAUUCAAGUCAGUCAAACUCACAAUAGCCCGACACUUAAACCCUGCCAGGGGACAUAGCUCUCUAGGAUUGCAAUGUUCCUAAUCCCUUCCUUCUAUUAAACUACCUAGAAACUGAUUUAGUCAUUAGAAAUUUCUUGGUAUGAUGGCUUUUAAACAUGCCCACAGUUUUUUUUGACAAUCGGCUCCUCAAAAGCAUAGCCAGGCGCGGUGGCUCACACCUGUAAUCCCAGCACUUUGGGAGGCCAAGUCAGGCGGAUCAUCUGAGAUCAGGAGUUCAAGACCAGCCUGGCCAACAUGGCGAAACCCGUCUCUACUAAAAAUACAAAAAUUAGCUCGUCAUGCACCUGUAAUCCCAGCUACUUGGGAAGCUGAGGCAGGAGAAUCGCUUGAACCUGGGAGGUGGAGGUUGCAGUGAGCUGAGAGCGUGCCACUGUACUCGAGCCUGGGCAACAGAGUGAGA